rnacentral:rRNA from 1 species
GAUGAACGCUGGCGGCGUGCCUAACACAUGCAAGUCGAACGGAAGGACAAUAAGCUUUUUCUCUUGCUGUUAGCGGCUGACGGGCGAGUAACGCGUGCAUCACCUACUUCUUUUUCUUGGAUAAUUUCGUGAGACCGGUUCCACUACUACAUCAUAUUUUGAACCGCUUGGUUCAAAAGAUCUUGACGGCUUUCCUGUCUGUAUUAGCUGGUUCCGCGCUGGAUUAGCUGGUUGGUAAGGUAACGGCCUACCAAGGCUACGAUGCGUAGCCGAGCUGAGAGGAUGAUCGGCCACACUGGAACUGAGACACGGUCCAGACUCCUACGGGAGGCAGCAGUAGGGAAUCUUGGGCAAUGGGCGAAAGCCUGACGGAGCAACACCGCGUGGGUGAAGAAGGCCUUCGGAUCGUAAAGCCCUGUUGUUGGGAAAGAAAAGAUGUGGAAGAAAACGUGGAGGUCGUGACGGUACCUAAUCAAAAAGCACCGGCUAACUACGUG